rnacentral:rRNA from 1 species
AGGGGAACUCAGGGAACUGAAACAUCUAAGUACCUGAAGGAAGAGAAAGAAAUUCGAUUCCGUAAGUAGCGGCGAGCGAACGCGGAUUAGCCCAAACCAAUAAAGUUUUCUUUAUUGGGGUUGCGGACAUAUCAUAACGAAGAGGUAUCGUAAUUGAAGAGGUUUGGAAAGACCCACCACAGAAGGUAAUAGUCCUGUAUGUUAAACGAGAAGACUUUAGAUAUGAUCCAGAGUACCACGGGACACGUGAAACCCUGUGGGAAGCAGGAGGGACCACCCUCCAAGGCUAAAUACUACCUAGUGACCGAUAGCGUAUAGUACCGUGAGGGAAAGGUGAAAAGAACCCCGGGAGGGGAGUGAAAUAGAACCUGAAACCCUGCACUUACAAGCUGUGGAAGCACAUUUCUUGUGUGACCGCGUACUUUUUGUAGAACGGGCCAACGAGUUACGUUAAGUAGCAAGGUUAAGCACUUAAGGUGCGGAGCCGUAGCGAAAGCGAGUUUUAACUGAGCGUUCAGUUACUUGACGUAGACCCGAAACCGGGCGACCUACCCAUGAGCAGGAUGAAGCGAAAGUAAAAUUUCGUGGAGGUCCGAACCCACGAGCGUUGAAAAGCUCGGGGAUGACUUGUGGGUAGCGGUGAAAUUCCAAUCGAGCCCGGAGAUAGCUGGUUCUCCCCGAAAUAGCUUUAGGGCUAGCCUCAAGGUGAGAGAUACGGAGGUAGAGCACUGAAUGUCCUAGGGGGUAUUGCACCUACCGAAGACUAUCAAACUCCGAAUGCCGUCAUCUUAUACUUGGGAGUCAGACUGUGGGUGAUAAGAUUCAUAGUCGAAAGGGCAACAGCCCAGAUCGUCAGCUAAGGUCCCUAAAUGUAAGUUAAGUGGUAAAGGAUGUGGGAUUGCACAGACAACCAGGAUGUUGGCUUAGAAGCAGCCACUCAUUCAAAGAGUGCGUAAUAGCUCACUGGUCGAGUGAUCCUGCGCCGAAGAUUUCCGGGGCUAAAACUUACUACCGAAGCUACGGCAUCAGUAAUGAUGGGUAGGGGAGCUUCCCAUACGGGUUGAAGCAUGACCGUAAGGACAUGUGGACAGUAUGGGAGUGAGAAUGUUGGCAUGAGUAGCGAGAUGUGGGUGAGAAUCCCACAGGCCGUAAACCCAAGGUUUCCAGGGGAAGGUUCGUCCGCCCUGGGUUAGUCGGGACCUAAGCUGAGGCCGAAAGGCGUAGGUGAUGGACAACAGGUUGAUAUUCCUGUACUACCGAUAACCGUUUGAGAGAAGGGAUGACACAGUAGGAUAAGCUAAGCACACUGUUGGUUAUGUGUGCCCAAGCAUUGAGGCAGUCAAAGUAGGCAAAUCCGCUUUGAUAAUGCUGGGAUGUGAUGGGGAGCGAAAUUUAGUAGCGAAGUAGCUGAUUUCACACUGUCAAGAAAAGUCUCUAUCGAGGUUAAAGGUACCCGUACCGCAAACCGACACAGGUGGGUGAGGAGAGUAUCCUAAGGCCAGCGAGAGAACUGUUGUUAAGGAACUCGGCAAAAUGACCCCGUAACUUAGGGAUAAGGGGUGCCACCAUCAGGUGGCCGCAGAGAAUAGGCCCAAGCGACUGUUUACCAAAAACAUAGGUUUCUGCUAAGUCGCAAGACGAUGUAUAGGAGCUGACGCCUGCCCGGUGCUGGAAGGUUAAGGGGAUCUGUUAGAGCAAUCGAAGCAGUGAACUUAAGCCCCAGUAAACGGCGGCCGUAACUAUAACGGUCCUAAGGUAGCGAAAUUCCUUGUCGGGUAAGUUCCGACCCGCACGAAAGGCGUAACGAUUUGGGCACUGUCUCAACAACAGACUCGGUGAAAUUGUAAUUCCGGUGAAGAUGCCGGAUACCUGCGACAGGACGGAAAGACCCCAUGGAGCUUUACUGUAGCUUGACAUUGGGUCUUGGUACUACAUGUACAGGAUAGGUGGGAGGCUUUGAAACCAGGACGCCAGUUUUGGCGGAGCCAUCCUUGGGAUACCACCCUUGUAGUACUGGGACUCUAACCAUAGGCCAUGAAUCUGGUCUUGGGACACUGUCAGGUGGGCAGUUUGACUGGGGCGGUCGCCUCCCAAAAGGUAACGGAGGCGCUCAAAGGUUCUCUCAGUACGGUCGGAAAUCGUACGUAGAGUGUAAAGGCAAAAGAGAGCUUGAUUGCAAGACAUACAGGUCGAGCAAGGAUGAAAAUCGGACUUAGUGAUCCGGUGGUUCUGCGUGGAAGGGCCAUCGCUCAACGGAUAAAAGCUACCCUGGGGAUAACAGGCUUAUCUCCCCCAAGAGUCCACAUCGACGGGGAGGUUUGGCACCUCGAUGUCGGCUCAUCACAUCCUGGGGCUGUAGUAGGUCCCAAGGGUUGGGCUGUUCGCCCAUUAAAGUGGUACGCGAGCUGGGUUCAGAACGUCGUGAGACAGUUCGGUCCCUAUCCGUCGCAGGCGUAGGAAAUUUGAGAAGACCUGUCCUUAGUACGAGAGGACCGGGAUGGACGUACCUCUGGUGUACCAGUUGUCCUGCCAAGGGCAUGGCUGGGUAGCUAUGUACGGAAUGGAUAAGCGCUGAAAGCAUCUAAGCGCGAAGCCAACUUCAAGAUAAGAUUUCCCACCGCAAGGGUAAGACCCCAGAAAGACUAUCUGGUUGAUAGGUCGAAGGUGUAAGUGCAGCAAUGUAUUUAGCUUAUCGAUACUAAUAGGUCGAGGACUUGACCAA